CAUACAUAUGGGAGGUGACAGAUCAUGGGAACAAAAGCAACCACCAAACAAGUCAGCAGGAAGAGAUGACACAGUGAACUCCAGGAAAGGCUUCUCAACCUAGCAGGCAUUUUUUUCCAGUAAUAUUCUGAGGAGGAAAAUAAUCUACGUAACAGUUUUUCAGUUACUGGGGCAAAGAAAAGUUUAAGAAGAUUUUUUGUGCUCGUGGACAGCUGGCCUUGGAGAGUACUUGCUGUGAAAAGGAAAGGAAAGAGCAUAGGAAACCAGCAGAGAAUUGGGGACUCAAAAUCUCCAGGACAUGUGAGAAAUGCAAGCCUAUAUAUGAAGAGUUUGUCAGAAACCGAGCUUUGCAAUGAAAUCUUAAGAUUCCUCCAAUGUCUAGGCAUAAUGAGAAGCAACUUGAAAGUGCAGUUAUGGUGUAAAAAUGGCACCUUCUUACUCAACAAUUCUGUUCCUUGGCAUAUCAAUCGAUCCAUCAAUCAAUAACUCUAACCCAUCUGCUCCCUGAAUAUAUUCUUUCUGAUGUGCCAAUCAGCAUGGUAUUUAGGUACCAUUCUGUGACACUUAUGUAAUAAUAAUAAGUUUUGACCUCCUGUUAGCAUUGGAAAGCCAAAAACUUAUGGGAGAAUGAGUAUUUACUUAUAAUAUGCACCAGGUCUGCAGCUGUUAAAAAUCGAUGUAGUUCCACUGAAACUGCCAGAGCUAUGCCAAUUUACACCUACUAAGGAGCUGGCCUUAUAAGCCUUCUCAUAUAAAUGCAUGUGUUUGUGUAUAUAAAAAUAUAUCUGCAAAAAGAUGCAGAAAAGACAUUCAAUUAACCUCAUGGAGUACAUCAAAAG